CCCUUUUAGUUAUAACGAGACCGAAGGAUGAUUGAUUUGUCAUUUGUCUCUCGAGCGAGAGGCACUUACUACAGCUCCUUCUUCUCCUUCUUCUUCUUCGUCACACCUCGUGCGACGACGAUGGACCAGUACGAGAGUCGUCACACUUAGAGGUCUUCGUACGAACGGCACGGAAGAAGGCCCACGUGGCCUCCGACCGUACACUCGUCCCCACGAAGUCACUACGUCUUCUUUUUUCCGUUCAGAAUAGCCGUUCCCUUCCGAUGCGGAAAGAAGGUCCAGAGGGAGAGAGGUAGAUUUAGACACAAACCUCCUCCCCCGAUGCCAAUCAAGUGGGUGGCCAAAUGACACAGGAACACUCAACACUAGUAAUAGUACGUGAGCAGUCAACGAACUGUACAUACCACAGCAAGAACUUAAAAGUCGAUGUAUAUUACCAGCCAACACACUCACUUACCCUCACACAAGUACACAGCCAGACACACAGCUGACAGUGACACUCAGUUAAUCGAUUUUCUUCACACUACACACCCAAGUCGCUCCCUCAUUGUCAGUGACUUAUUCUUACAUUCACAGGAUAGUAUAUACAUACAGAUUUUAUCAUUG
rnacentral:rRNA from 1 species